UCCCUUCGGACCUAAGAUUUAUCGCCCAAGGAUGAGCCCGCGUAGGAUUAGCUAGUUGGUGGGGUAAUGGCCUACCAAGGCGACGAUCCUUAGCUGGUCUGAGAGGAUGAUCAGCCACACUGGGACUGAGACACGGCCCAGACUCCUACGGGAGGCAGCAGUGGGGAAUAUUGGACAAUGGGCGAAAGCCUGAUCCAGCAAUGCCGCGUGAGUGAUGAAGGCCUUAGGGUUGUAAAGCUCUUUUACCCGGGAUGAUAAUGACAGUACCUGGAGAAUAAGCUCCGGCUAACUCCGUGCCAGCAGCCGCGGUAAUACGGAGGGAGCUAGCGUUGUUCGGAAUUACUGGGCGUAAAGCGCGCGUAGGCGGUUACUCAAGUCAGAGGUGAAAGCCCGGGGCUCAACCCCGGAACUGCCUUUGAAACUAGGUGACUAGAAUCUUGA
rnacentral:rRNA from 1 species